GAACGCGAAGAACCUUACCAGGUCUUGACAUCCCGGUGCCCGUCCUAGAGAUAGGAUUUUGCUUCGGCACACCGGUGACAGGUGGUGCAUGGUUGUCGUCAGCUCGUGUCGUGAGAUGUUGGGUUAAGUCCCGCAACGAGCGCAACCCUUAUUGUUAGUUGCCAUCAUUUAGUUGGGCACUCUAGCGAGACUGCCGGUAAUAAACCGGAGGAAGGUGGGGAUGACGUCAAAUCAUCAUGCCCCUUAUGACCUGGGCUACACACGUGCUACAAUGGCUGGUACAACGAGUCGCAAGUCGGUGACGGCAAGCUAAUCUCUUAAAGCCAGUCUCAGUUCGGAUUGUAGGCUGCAACUCGCCUACAUGAAGUCGGAAUCGCUAGUAAUCGCGGAUCAGCACGCCGCGGUGAAUACGUUCCCGGGCCUUGUACACACC
rnacentral:rRNA from 1 species